rnacentral:rRNA from 1 species
AUUGAACGCUGGCGGCAGGCCUAACACAUGCAAGUCGAACGAGUGGCGGACGGGUGAGUAUUGUCUGGGAAACUGCCUGCUGGCGGGGGAUAACUACUGAAAACGGUAGAUAAUACCGCAUACAUCCAGAUCUGCCCAGAUGGGAUUAGCUGUUGGGUGGGUUAACGGCUCACCAGGGCGACGAUCCCUAGCUGGGCGGAGAGGAUGACCAGCCACACUGGAACUGAGACACGGUCAAGACUCCUACGGGAGGCAGCAGUGGGGAAUAUUGCACAAUGGGCGCAAGUUUGAUGCAGCCAUGCCGCGUGUAUGAAGAAGGCCUUCGGGUUGUAAAGUACUUUCAGCGGGGAGGCGUUACCCGCAAAAGAAGCACCGGCUAACUCCGUGCCAGCAGCCGCGGUAAUUC